AGAGUUUGAUCCUGGCUCAGAUUGAACGCUGGCGGCAUGCCUUACACAUGCAAGUCGAACGGCAGCGCGGGANCAAUCCUGCGGNGAGUGGCGAACGGGUGAGUAAUACAUCGGAAUGUGCCCAAUCGUGGGGGAUAACGCUGCGAAAGCUGUGCUAAUACCGCAUACGUUCUACGGAUGAAAGCAGGGGAUCUCAAGACCUUGCGCAAUGGAGCGGCCGAUGUCAGAUUAGGUAGUUGGUGAGGUAAAGGCUCACCAAGCCUUCGAUCUGUAGCUGGUCUGAGAGGACGACCAGCCACACUGGGACUGAGACACGGCCCAGACUCCUACGGGAGGCAGCAGUGGGGAAUUUUGGACAAUGGGCGCAAGCCUGAUCCAGCCAUGCCGCGUGCAGGAUGAAGGCCUUCGGGUUGUAAACUGCUUUUGUACGGAACGAAACGCCCUUUUCUAAUAAAGAGGGCUAAUGACGGUACCGUAAGAAUAAGCACCGGCUAACUACGUGCCAGCAGCCGCGGUAAUACGUAGGGUGCAAGCGUUAAUCGGAAUUACUGGGCGUAAAGCGUGCGCAGGCGGUAAUGUAAGACAGUUGUGAAAUCCCCGGGCUCAACCUGGGAACUGCAUUGUGACUGCAUCNCUGGAGUACUGGCAGAGGGGGAUGGAAUUCCGCGUGUAGCAGUGAAAUGCGUAGAUAUNCGGAGGAACACCGAUGGCGAAGGCAAUCCCCCUGGNCCUGUACUGACCCUCAUGCACGAAAGCGUGGGAGCAA
rnacentral:rRNA from 1 species